AAACCCCCCGGCACAAUCGCAGCUUGCCCGAUGGCCGCCGCCGCCGAAGCCGCCGGCGCGUUCCCCUCCACCGCCUCGUCGAACUCCGACUCCGAAGACCUCCUCCUCCUUCCAAACCUCCUCCCGUCCGCCGCGGCACCUUCCUCCCUGUCGCACGCGCAGCUCCAUCACUUCCACGUCCCGUCCAUCCCGUCCCCCAUCACCGUGCGCGCGCUCCCCUCGCGGGGCCUGUCGUUCCAGCUCUGGCCCUCCGCAUCCACGCUCCUCCGCGUCCUCCCGGCCUCCCCGCACCUCCUCCCGCGCGCGCCAGCCCCGGGGGCCCCGCCGCUCAGCGUCCUCGAGCUCGGCUCCGGCACCGGCGCCGCGGGGCUCGCGCUGGCCGCGGCGCUCCCGGCCCGCGCCGUCCUCUCCGACCUCCCCGGCGCGCUCCCCAACCUCCGCCACAACGCCGGCCUCAACGCGCCCCUCCUCGCCUCCGCCGGCGCCGCCGCCUCCGUCGUGCCGCUCCCCUGGGGCGACGCCGCCGCGAUGCGGGAGGUGGCGGCGGCGCGGGCGGAGGCACCGUUCGACCUCGUCGUGGCGUCGGACGUGGUGUACUACGAGGCGUUGGUUGACCCCUUGAUCGAGACGCUGCGGUUCUUCGUCAAGGGGGAGGUGGUGUUCCUGAUGGCGCACAUGAGGCGGUGGAAGCGCACGGACAAGAAGUUCUUCGGGAAGGCGAGGAAGCUGUUCAACAUCGAGGUGGUGCACGAGGACCCGCCGCUCGAAGGUUGGCGCCAUGGGCCGGUGGUUUACCGGUUCACCGCGAAGAAGCAGCACGGCAAGAAGUGAUGGAGCUGCCUCAAGAUAUGAUGGAAUUGAUGUCGAUACCUACAUGGUUGUCGUCUGGAUCCCAUGCGUUCUUGUGGCUGUCAAACUCGACGGCCACGAUCUGGUUGGAUGUCCCACUCUGAUCAGCACUGCUACCGAAGAGGCCAAGCUUACCAUCGGUGGAAUUAUUGGGGACAACAGAAGGGUAUGGUGAGAGGAAAAAGGCAAGCCCCUCACCAUACGAGCCAUCGAGGGUUACCGGAUCCGUGAAGACUGCUCGGCCGACACUGUGAGCAAUUUGGCCAUCCAUCUCUUCCUUGGUAAGCCUGAUCGCCUUGUUGUAGAAGGCAUCCUCCUGGAACUGGAUUGUGGCCGCUCCAUUGUGGUUCGAUUCAGUGAAAUUCAGCUCAAAGUACAGAGGACUGACACAGCUGAUAUUCUGAAAUAGGAAUAAGUGGAGUGCCAAGAAGCUAGUAACUAUGCUUCUUGAUCUCAUGGCUGUUGAGAGAGCUGGAGGCAGGAAGGGAGCAAGGGAGGAGAGGCAAAGCAUCACAACUCCUGUGGAACUGAGGUUGUUUCCUAUGUAUGCUGAUGUAAAUGAGUUCCCAACUUGGUCAGCCGUCGAUUACUUCACAGUUCAGACAUGCUUGUUGUUUUUUGUGUAUCAGUACGGCCGGCCUGUCAAUAGGGCAUAGGCCUUGAAAAGACAGAUGUAAGCCACAGGAGAAGCAGCUCAAAUUUGGAGUUUAUAUUGGUGGUACCAGAGGGAGGAGGGUGUAUAAUAAUGGUAUGAUGUUGAAGUAUGAAUUGAAAUUUUCAACAGGAGAGAGGAUGCUUGGUUUCUAUCGCCAUUGCCAUCCUAGAUCACAGAUAAAACACAGAUAGUAACAUGAAACGAGGUCAAGGAUAGUCCGUCCACACAGGGUUUGUUGAUUGCCGGCCAAAGCAAGAUCUUUGCUUCUUUCAGCAAAUGGAGCAGGUAUGUUCUGUGAUAUCCCUGGAGGCCUGGAGCUCAGAGGUUCCUUUCCCUCUGGCAUCUGUGCUCACCACACUGGAUCUGGGUGUAUUUUCUUUUCAUAUAGUUCAAUGACAAAUCAUUUCAUUCAUCUGUAGAUAGUUUACCUGGUCCUAAACAUCAGGUCAAUGUUUCUUAAUAUUGUGUAAACUUCAAUGUUUAGAGACAUCUGUCGCCAAAUAAGAUCACAUUUAGCAGUAGGACGACUUCUUACUAUCUGAUGUGUUCAGAAUUCAGAACUAGGAUUCAAAUACUUGAUUUUUGCAGUUGCAGUAAAAUAAUGCUUGUUUAUCAA